CAGAUGAAAGACCGUCUCGUGAUAAACAAUUCAGCGAGGAAGUACGUAGUGGUCAUACUCCGGGAGUACGACACGGUGCUUCUGCCACUUCAACGGCAGUGUCACCGACGAGCACCUGGAUCACGACGGAACUCAAUGAUCAGAUCUGUUCCUUUUGUUGGAAGGGAUUUCGUGAAACCUGGGUCCUGCAACUGUACCAGGUCUCCAACCUUAAACACGGUCUCAUGAUGGCAGAUUCGUCCAGGUUUGGUAUUAAUCUGGUGUAUGCUGUUAAAAUCGCCGGAAUACUUCGAGGGCACCAGUUGCCCAACCAACCCGAAUACUACCUGAAGGUUUCAGCACCGUUGUGGAGGGCGGUCUGCUAAUUCACGCAACUUGAUCUGGAAACAAAGAAAAGAGGGAAAAAAGGACAAAGCCUAACCCGCGGCCAGCGAUGCCCCGAAAAUCAACGAAAAGUAAAUCUCGUCGAAUGAACCCCGAAAGACCCCGAAAAUGCACCGUUAUCCGCACAAGUUUUAAGUCAGCAGCUUGCAUUGUGGUUUGAAGGACGGGGACGUGCUGGCAAGAAGGAUUCACGCGAUCUGAUGGAAAGAUUUGUGUGGGCCAAGUUGUACGAGAGUGAGUCGGCUUUUGUCACCCUUAAGCGCGUUUCCAUGAAAGAAGGCGCCCUGGAAAGAUCCUCAAGGUCAAGUUUCCAGCCGUGGAUAAGCUCACACGCCAGAGGCGAACAAAUUUCUGAGCGAACUCUGUCCCAUCUACUCACCUCUGGGCAAACUCGUCGACGAUUAUUGCAUCAGCCCGACCUUCAUCUGCGGCCACCCUUA